UGUCAGGUGGGCAGUUUGACUGGGGCGGUCGCCUCCUAAAGAGUAACGGAGGCGCCCAAAGGUUCCCUCAGAAUGGUUGGAAAUCAUUCGUAGAGUGUAAAGGCACAAGGGAGCUUGACUGCGAGACCUACAAGUCGAGCAGGGACGAAAGUCGGGCUUAGUGAUCCGGUGGUUCCGCAUGGAAGGGCCAUCGCUCAACGGAUAAAAGCUACCCCGGGGAUAACAGGCUUAUCUCCCCCAAGAGUCCACAUCGACGGGGAGGUUUGGCACCUCGAUGUCGGCUCAUCGCAUCCUGGGGCUGUAGUCGGUCCCAAGGGUUGGGCUGUUCGCCCAUUAAAGCGGUACGCGAGCUGGGUUCAGAACGUCGUGAGACAGUUCGGUCCCUAUCCGUCGCGGGCGCAGGAAAUUUGAGAGGAGCUGUCCUUAGUACGAGAGGACCGGGAUGGACGCACCGCUGGUGUACCAGUUGUCUUGCCAAAGGCAUAGCUGGGUAGCUACGUGCGGACGGGAUAAGUGCUGAAAGCAUCUAAGCAUGAAGCCCCCCUCAAGAUGAGAUUUCCCAUGGCGCAAGCUAGUAAGAUCCCUGAAAGAUGAUCAGGUUGAUAGGUCAGAGGUGGAAGCGUGGCGACAUGUGGAGCUGACUGAUACUAAUAGAUCGAGGACUUAACCAAC
rnacentral:rRNA from 1 species